GGCCGGCCCCUAAUAUUUAUCUUGAUUGCUGAGUUUUUUAGCAACCCCUUACAUUUUGCACCUAAGGCAAGUUCCUCACUCGCCUCACC